GAUGAACGCUGGCGGCGUGCCUAAUACAUGCAAGUCGAGCGAACGGACGAGAAGCUUGCUUCUCUGAUGUUAGCGGCGGACGGGUGAGUAACACGUGGAUAACCUACCUAUAAGACUGGGAUAACUUCGGGAAACCGGAGCUAAUACCGGAUGAUAUUUUGAACCGCAUGGUCCAAAAGUGAAAGACGGUCUUGCUGUCACUUAUAGAUGGAUCCGCGCUGCAUUAGCUAGUUGGUAAGGUAACGGCUUACCAAGGCAACGAUGCAUAGCCGACCUGAGAGGGUGAUCGGCCACACUGGAACUGAGACACGGUCCAGACUCCUACGGGAGGCAGCAGUAGGGAAUCUUCCGCAAUGGGCGAAAGCCUGACGGAGCAACGCCGCGUGAGUGAUGAAGGUCUUCGGAUCGUAAAACUCUGUCAUUAGGGAAGAACAUAUGUGUAAGUAACUGUGCACAUCUUGACGGUACCUAAUCAGAAAGCCACGGCUAACUACGUG
rnacentral:rRNA from 1 species